AGUGAACGCUGGCGGUAGGCCUCACACAUGCUAGUCGAACGGUAGCACAGUACGAGCCUGUUCUUACUGGUGGCGAUUGGCGUACGGGUGAGGUAUACAUCGACAUCUUCUUUUUCGUGGGGGAUAUCGUUGGGACUCUUACGCUAAUACUUCAUACGACCUACGGGUGCGCGCCCGCGAUCUUCGGCCCUUUCCCGAUUUCCUGAGCCGUUGCCGGAUUAGCUAGUUGGCGGGGUAAGGGCCCACCAAGGCGAGGAUCCGUAGCUGGUCUGAGAGGAUGAUCAGCCACACUGGAACUGAGACACGGUCCAGACUCCUACGGGAGGCAGCAGUGGGGAAUAUUGGACAAUGGGCGCAAGCCUGAUCCAGCCAUACCGCGUGGGUGAAGAAGGCCUUCGGGUUGUAAAGCCCUUUUGUUGGGAAAGAAAGGCAGCAGGUUAAUACCCCGCUGUUCUGACGGUACCCAAAGAAUAAGCACCGGCUAACUUCGUG
rnacentral:rRNA from 1 species